GGGCUAGUAUUCCAAAGGUCGUAGGUUCGAAUCCCACCGUGGCCGGGCAUAUUUUUCAAGCUCGCCCGGUGUGGAUAUGCACUCAGAGUAACAUCGCAAACAUAUUAUUCACCUGAGUACACAACACCAACACAGAAAAAUACAAAGAACUUAUAUUCAUUUACUCUGAAGAUGUCUUAAGUUAAAGACGAAACGUCAGUACUUCUUAAAUAAAUUUUAUGUAUAUAUUCUUGUCUAUAUGGCUCUUUUGCGCACGUUAUGACAGGCAUUAAUCUUUAUAUUACGAUUACGAUUCCCGCCUGGUUCAUCACUUGCAAGUAAAUUUAAAGGGCAUAUGACACGCAAAUUGAUGGUGUUAUUUUUUACUCUAAUUUAGAAGAUAAUUGAAAACUGUAGAGUAACUUCUUUGACAGAUUUUUGUUUUCUUGCUUCAUUUUAAAAAUAUUUCAUUUUGUAUGAUAUGCCAAUUUCUACGUCAAACAUGCAUUGUGACUUACUUUAAAAUGUUACCUAAUUUUGUCACUAUAUCAAAUAAAUUCGCUCAAAAUGAAUGAUGAGCACGAGAUUUGUCCACAACAACACCCAUGUAGGUUUUCUACUCAUUAUGUUUAGUCGUAUUAAAAAUAUACAGCUUUUAGGACUAAAUCAUUAUACAUAUGUGACGUAGGAAGUUGGUCCUUUGUAUAUCAUACAAAAUGAAAUAUCGUUUUGACAAGAAAACAAAAAUCUAUCAAAGAAGUUUACUCUACAGUUUUCAAUGAUCUUUCAAAUUAGACUAAAAAAUAACACAGUCAAUUUUCGAGUCAUGUGCGCUUUAAUUCAACUGACAGUCAAUAUAGUCAGGCAGAAAGAGAAUAUCAAGAAACAAAUCCAUUUUCCAAGGCUGGUAAGUACAUUACUGUAUGUUGGCAGCGUUCAAAUUUCUUGUGGGCUCCUGCCAACACGUUUUUCUGCGAUUUUCCUACUGAACUCCUUUAUCGUUAAAAACGUGAAAUUUUAGGUUCAUUUAUAGAAAAAAUAACUUGCAGCGUUAGAAAGCUUACAAAAAUAUUAGACAUUUAUAAACAGUUACUGUACCUUGAUUUUUUUUCAAGUCGCUCUUAAGUUAUGAGCUUUUGAAAACGUGUUUUAAGAGUAGUACCAGGAUUUUUGCGCGUUUUGAAACGUUUGGGCCUAUUUUUCACACUUUGGAACAGCAAUAACUCGCACACCAUUUGAAAAGUCAA